rnacentral:rRNA from 1 species
UACAGAGGUGGCGAGCGUUAUUCGGAAUUAUUGGGCGUAAAGGGCGCGUAGGCGGCUUGACAAGUCCCGGGUGAAAUCCCUCGGCUCAACCGAGGAACUGCCUUGGAAACUGUCUGGCUUGAGGCCGGGAGAGGGUAGUGGAAUUCCCAGUGUAGCGGUGAAAUGCGUAGAUACUGGGAGGAACACCGGUGGCGAAGGCGGCUACCUGGACCAGCACUGACACUGAGGCACGAAAGCGUGGGGAGCAAACAGGG